CGGGCUGGAGCAGAUAAAAUCCGUCACGUCCUGUUACGAACGCUGAUGUCACCACGUCCUGUGGA
rnacentral:sRNA from 1 species